UCCACAAUAGCUCAAUCAGGUGAGCAGCUUUACACCAAAAAGCAGGUCUAGGUUCGAAUCCUAGUUGUGGAC